rnacentral:misc_RNA from 1 species
UGCCGUUGACACAUUCAAGUGUUUCCU